rnacentral:rRNA from 1 species
UAGGGAAUCUUCCACAAUGGACGCAAGUCUGAUGGAGCAACGCCGCGUGAGUGAAGAAGGUUUUCGGAUCGUAAAGCUCUGUUGUUGGUGAAGAAGGAUAGAGGCAGUAACUGGUCUUUAUUUGACGGUAAUCAACCAGAAAGUCACGGCUAACUACGUGCCAGCAGCCGCGGUAAUACGUAGGUGGCAAGCGUUGUCCGGAUUUAUUGGGCGUAAAGCGAGCGCAGGCGGAAUGAUAAGUCUGAUGUGAAAGCCCACGGCUCAACCGUGGAACUGCAUCGGAAACUGUCAUUCUUGAGUGCAGAAGAGGAGAGUGGAACUCCAUGUGUAGCGGUGGAAUGCGUAGAUAUAUGGAAGAACACCAGUGGCGAAGGCGGCUCUCUGGUCUGCAACUGACGCUGAGGCUCGAAAGCAUGGGUAGCGAACAGGAUUAGAUACCCUGGUAGUCCAUGCCGUAAACGAUGAGCGCUAGGUGUUGGGGACUUUCCGGUUCUCAGUGCCGGCAGCAAAUCGCAUUAAGCGCUCCGCCUGGGG